rnacentral:rRNA from 1 species
AACGAACGCUGGCGGCAUGCCUAACACAUGCAAGUCGAACGAGACCUUCGGGUCUAGUGGCGCACGGGUGCGUAACGCGUGGGAACCUGCAUUUAGGUUCGGAAUAACUCAGAGAAAUUUGAGCUAAUACAGGAUGAUGUCUUCGGACCACAGAUUGAUCGUCUUUAGAUGAGCCCGCGUUGGAUUAGCUAGUUGGUGUGGUAAAGGCCUACCAAGGCGACGAUCCAUAGCUGGUCUGAGAGGAUGAUCAGCCACACUGGGACUGAGACACAGCCGAGACUCCUACGGGAUGCAGCAGUGGGGAAUAUUGGACAAUGGGCGAAAGCCUGAUCCAGCAAUGCCGCGUGAGUGAUGAAGGCCGUAGGGUUGUAAAGCUCUUUUACCCGAGAUGAUAAUGACAGUAUCGGGAGAAUAAGCUCCGGCUAACUCCGUG